CUUGAAUCCUCAGAGUCUGUGAGGAUUCUUCCAGCCUAAAGAAAAAAGAGAACUGAAGAUAUUUCUGUUUUCUACCUGUCUUAUCUUGACUUGCUCACUUUAGGAAUUAUACUAUCGGUGAUGCUUUCAACAACCCCAGCAGUGCUGUUGAUGUCAUCGGUGUCUGUAGUUUGCCAUGAAGUAAAAACCAUUGUAAUGAACUGAGGCCAAAUCAGCUUGACUCUGGACUCGUGGAUGUAUUCAUAAACUGUGACUGUCCCACUGGGUGGAAAGGAGAAUUCUGCACAGAGACCAUUUCCACCUGUGACCCUGAACAUGACCCUCCCACCACUGUAGAAAGGAGCAACUUGUGUUUCAUUGCCUCAUGGAUACACCUGUUAUUGUCCUCUGGAAACCACUGGAAUCUGUGAACAAGACAGCUUGUUCCCAGUUGGCAACAUAACCAGUACCAUCGUUGAGGCCUCAUAAUUUCUACUCAGUUAUGGGCACCUAGGAUGUAGAAGAAAUACCUGGGAUUCAAUUCACCUUCAUUGGACUUAUAAACUGGUAUAAAAAUCAUCAAUGAAUUCACUACCAGCAACCUUAAACUCACAAAUGUCUAACUAAUAAGUCCUCUUUUCCCUUCUUCCUUUCUACUUCCCCAUUCCAAGAAACCUUAAGUCUUAGAAGGAAAAUUAAUUUGACUGUGCAUGGAACCCCCUACUUACAGCUUUCACACCUACCGGGUUUUAUGACCAUCUUUCUUGUAAAUAAGCCCCACCACCAACGAGAAUCAAAACUCAUGUUUAUAAU
rnacentral:lncRNA from 1 species